UGGGUUAAGGGUCCGUAGGCGGCCUUAUAAGUCAGAGGUGAAAUCUCCUAGCUCAACUAGGAAACUGCCAUUGAUACUGUAGGGCUUGAAUUAUUAGGAAGUAACUAGAAUAUGUAGUGUAGCGGUGAAAUGCUUAGAUAUUACAUGGAAUACCAAUUGCGAAGGCAGGUUACUACUAAURNAUUGACGCUGAUGGACGAAAGCGUGGGUAGCGAACAGGAUUAGAUACCCUGGUAGUCCACGCCGUAAACGAUGGAUACUAGCUGUUCGGAGCAAUCUGAGUGGCUAAGCGAAAGUGAUAAGUAUCCCACCUGGGGAGUACGAWCGCAAGAHUGAAACUCAAAGGAAUUGACGGAG
rnacentral:rRNA from 1 species